UUAAUUAAUAUAUUUAAAAAAAAUCAGAAGCUAAAUGCGCUUCUGUAUUUUCCAAAAUAAGCCACUUAUCACAAUAUAAUGUAUAGAGCUAAAUGCACUCCAUACACAAUAUGUGUUACUUAGUGUGUUCCAUACAAAUUAAUAUUUCUAAAAAUAGACGUGCCAAAUUCCUUGAAACGUGAGAACUAAACCGCUGCCACCAUUGUCGUAAUUUCUGCUUCUUGCUAUGUUUUGAUAAGUUUUAAAGCCAGCAAAUACGAAUACUCAUAAAACUAGUAAAUACACGGAGUAAUAAAU
rnacentral:lncRNA from 1 species